GCCCGGAUGGUCUAGUCGUAUGAUUCCUUGUUAGGGUUAGCUGAUCCAAGUGGUCAGCUAAUAAGCUCGAGGAGGUCCCGCGUUCAAUUCGCGGUUCGGGCC